AAAGGGGCAGGGAGGAGAGAGCCCGGGCUGGUUACUGUGGGGACGAGGGUAUCUGACUUGCUAUGCAGCUAGCUCCGCAGGUGGGUUGACUUGGUCAGAGGCCAUGGCUGGGACACAGGGAGGCCUCCUGGCGGGAGGUCAGACCUGCUCCAUUGCUUCUGUAGCUGACCAAAGACCUUUAUUCUAGUCUUCUGUGUUCAUUAAACCACCUAUGCAGAACAUUCCUUUCAUCUCUGCCCCAAAAAACAUCAGCUACAUCCAGGCUUGAAUUGGAAGACAGACUGAAUUCAUGGAAGACUUUGUGGAGAAUGUUAUCCAAGAGAUCUCUGCAUCUUCCAUCUUGGCUUGGGUAAAACAAUAAGAAGGUUGUGUACAAGCUCGGACUCUCUCCAAAGCUGAGGCGUACAGAGGGGAAAGACCUCCAUUCUCAGGAGCCAUGUGAUUUAUUUAGGGCUGGUGAGAUGGCUCAGUGGGUAAGAGCACCCGACGGCUCUUCCGAAGGUCUGAAGUUCAAAUCCCAGCAACCACAUGGUGGCUCACAACCACCCGUAAUGAGAUCUGAUGUCCUCUUCAGCCCUAAAGUUCAGAAAGAUGGAAUGCUAGCCAGGCAGCCCUCUCAUGUGGACGCAGUGGCCGGUGGUGCUCUGCACUGUGAACUCGCUGUCUCCAUAUCUGUGGUCAUACAUUCCUGAGAGACAAUAGCUGAGGUCUCUCCCAAACAGGUCAGUGGUGAAGCCAUAGCCAUCACUGAGGCCACUGUAUUCUUCAUAGCCCCCAUAGCCUGAACUAUAGGCACCAGACCUCAUCCUAUCCAGACCUGCCUGUUUCACAAUGCCAAUGUACCUCCGGGCUGUGCCAGGCCUGUCAUAAGGCCCAGGCCUUUGCACAGACAUAAACUUCAGAGGUGGAUCUGAGUAUGAUCUAACUUCCUCCUGACUGCUCUUAAACACUUCAAUAUACCUGUGCCCUAUUCUCUCCUUGUGCUUCCCUAAAGCUUUCUCAGCUAACUCUUGUAAGGCAAACUGAAUGAAGGCCUCCCCUGUAAUCUUGCCUUCCGGGUCCACAGGUAGUGUGAUCCCAUUUGGCACAAUUUCCAACCCUGAGAAGAACUGAACGAUUUCUUCCUUUGUGCAUCCAAAUGGGAGUCCCCGAAGCCUCACAAAGCCAUCAUUGGCACUGUCGGCGCUGUUUGGACCACUGUGCUUCAACACCCAAUCCAUCUCGGUUCUGUGUGACUUGAACACCUCAAUAUACCGGUGUCCCAUGCUUUCCCUGUCUUUUUUCAGAGCCAAUUUUACAUCAUCUUCUGACUCAAGUUCAACAAAAGCCUCACCACUCUGCCUGCCUUCUCUAGUAUAAAUGAAAUGAACACCUGCGACCCCAUCAUGAAUUGUGCAGUCGGAGAGGAAGUUUUGUACGUCCUCAAUUGAGCAGGACCAGGGUAGGACACGGAGUUUGACUACAUAGCCUUCACCUCCCUCAGGGCCCAGCAUCAUGGACACUUGACAGGGCUGAUGUCACACAAGCUUGGGCAAUUUUUUGUAGCUUAAAGAACCACCACAGAUGCCUUCUGUAGGAAACACUUAAUGGAAGGUAACAAGUUUUCCAGGGGAGGAAGGUAGAAGUGACUUCUAUAUUCAGUAAGGAACGCGGCUUACAAACUCAAACUCCACCCGACGCCUUAAAAACGCAGAGGGCUCCGGGGAAAGUCCAGGUGCAUCUUUUUGUUCUCAACCUUCAGGAAGACGAGGCGCAGUCCUUCAAAAGUAGUUUGUAUAUUAUGGGAAAAAAUUUCAGUCUAGAAUAUGAGAUGGGCUUCGCCACAGAACGAAGCAAGGAGAAGUAAAUAUUAGGAAUCUUGGAAAAGAGAAAAUGAAUCAAACUCUCAAAUUAAAAUAAAAGCUUUUAUUUUCUUCAUUUAUUGGAAGGGAUAUAUAAUUUUCUUCAUUUCUUGGAUGGGAUAUAUAUAUAUAUACUCCUCUACUUUUCUCAUUUUUCAAUUUAUUCUGUUCAUUUCACAUGAGUCUUCCAGUUCAAUUGCCUUUUAUUAUCUGUAAGGUAGAAAUGCCUGUUGUAACAGACACAAUGAUUUGACAGACAUUCCAAUAUUAAAUUAGGUAAAAGAUACACAAGAACCUCACUUAUGUACCUGAUAAUGCUUAGGGAGUUUUUCUGAUCUGAUUGGGAAAACAGUUUAUCGGUCUCUCUCUCUCUCUCUCUCUCUCUCUCUCUCUCUCUCUCUCUCUCUCUCUCCUCCUCCCCUUCCGCUCUCCCUCUGCCCCCUCUCUGUGUUGUAUGUGUGUGUUCUUUUGUUUGAUUUGGUUGGAUUUUUUUUUUUUUUUAGAUUUAAGGUUAUCAAUAAUUCAUCAAUGUAAUGGAUAAAGGUGUGAAUUGGAAAACCAGGUGUAAAGUCUUGGUUCAUGCUGAAAUUGCUGAAUCCAUGCCAAAAUUCAUGAUGAAUUCAACUGACUUCAUGCUGAAUUUGCUAUUGGUGUUGUGCUAACUUUUUUCUGCCUGCUGCAUGAGUAGACAAUAUUAAUUGUUUCCACUCAGCUUGAAAGUAUCGAAACAAAACUACAACAAGAACUAUUCCACUGGCAAUGCCUGGAAGAUGAAAAUAAUGCCCUGCAGCAGAAGUCAGCAGAGAUGGCAGCAGCCCAGGAAAAGUGUGAAAUGUCGGCGUGAAGAGCAUAUACUCAGCCUCAAAACCCAUAUGGACCAGAACAUGAUAGAGCAUAGUGAGGUAGGAAAGCCACUGAAGAGCAACACAGGUGACAAGCAAUGGAAGAAAUAAACAAAGUGAAUCAAUCCUUACAGGUGACUACAGUCAUCUGUCAUGUGCCGAAAUUAACUCCACCUCAAAUUUCAUUUUCAAUGUAUUGUGUGUAUGAUAAUCUGUGUUUCUUCUGUGUUUCACAGCAACUUCUGUUGUAGAUUUCUGGAAAAAGAAACCAUCCACGUCUAUUGAUAAUCAUCUUAGUUUUGACUAUCAGUGCUAAAAGAAUUCAUCUUUCAGAAUUCUGGUUUUCAAUAGGGAAUCAUGUGAUCUUUGAGAUUACUUGAAAAUUUGUGAGAAAGAUAAUAAUUGUGCUGUAGAUAUGAUAAUGGACUUCUGUUGUUUAUAAGUUCCAUGCUUUACUAUAAAAUUGUACUAUAUUAUUAAUUUUAAAUUAUUAUAUGAAUACUUCAGGGAUGAAGAUGUAGUUCUAUGGUUAGAUAGCUCUUUGUCAUACACAAGUCCCUGGGUUCGGUCUAUAGUACCACAGAAAGAAUUCAUUUAAAAAUUCUACUUAAACUCACUUGAUGUUGAUGAUAAAGAAUUUGAAUUCCAACCCCUUUCUAUUUCAUUUAAAAUAUUCUCUGCCUUGUGGAUUCAAAUGUAAAGGGAAUUACACAAUAAUUUGUUGGAUGGAUAUGUGUCAAAUAAGUGCUUCUUUUAUUUAGAAUAAAUACAGUGAUGUUUGUAAUUUAAACAG
rnacentral:lncRNA from 1 species